UAGAGUAAUGCGUGACCAACCUGCCCCAUGCUCCAGAAUAGCUCUUGGAAACGGGUGGUAAUGCUGGAUGCUCCAACUUGACGCAUGUCUUGUUGGGAAAGUGUUUAGUGGCAUGGGAUGGGGUCGCGUCCUAUCAGCUUGUAGGCGGGGUAAUGGCCCACCUAGGCUUCGACGGGUAGCCGGCCUGAGAGGGCGGACGGCCACAUUGGGACUGAGAUACGGCCCAGACUCCUACGGGAGGCAGCAGCA
rnacentral:rRNA from 1 species